rnacentral:rRNA from 1 species
AGCACCCUACGGGGGGCGGCAGUGGGGAAUAUUGCACAAUGGGGGAAACCCUGAUGCAGCGACACCGCGUGAGUGAAGAAGUAAUUCGUUAUGUAAAGCUCUAUCAGCAGGGAAGAAAACGACGGUACCUGAGUAAGAAGCCCCGGCUAACUACGUGCCAGCAGCCGCGGUAAUACGUAGGGGGCAAGCGUUAUCCGGAUUUAUUGGGUUUAAAGGGAGCGUAGGCGGGCCGUUAAGUCAGUUGUGAAAGUUCGGGGCUCAACCCCGGAAUUCCAGUUGAAACUGCCGGUCUUGAGUACACGCAG